rnacentral:rRNA from 1 species
GACGAACGCUGGCGGCGUGCUUAACACAUGCAAGUCGAACGGAAAGGCCCUGCUUUUGUGGGGUGCUCGAGUGGCGAACGGGUGAGUAACACGUGAGUAACCUGCCCUUGACUUUGGGAUAACUUCAGGAAACUGGGGCUAAUACCGGAUAGGAGCUCCUGCUGCAUGGUGGGGGUUGGAAAGUUUCGGCGGUUGGGGAUGGACUCGCGGCUUAUCAGCUUGUUGGUGGGGUAGUGGCUUACCAAGGCUUUGACGGGUAGCCGGCCUGAGAGGGUGACCGGCCACAUUGGGACUGAGAUAGGGCCCAGACUGCUACGGGAGGCAGCAGUGGGGAAUCUUGCACAAUGGGCGGAAGCCUGAUGCAGCAACGCCGCGUGCGGGAUGACGGCCUUCGGGUUGUAAACCGCUUUCGCCUGUGACGAAGCGUGAGUGACGGUAAUGGGUAAAGAAGCACCGGCUAACUACGUG